UGAGAGGUUUAGAGCAGCGGCUCGCAUGGGGUGGUCUGGAGGGCCCUGUGGGUCCCAAGAUCAUUUCGGAACUAGCUAGCUUCAUAGUAAUAAUAGGGUUUCAUUUGCCUUUCUUAGUUUCGCUGGAAUUUUCCAGAUUACUGAUGUAUGAUGACGUCAUUGCUCUCAUGACUAAAGGAAUGUGUACUUGCAUGUUCUUGUGUUUUCUAAAAUUUCCCAAGGUAGAAUACAUGCUCAAUCACCUGACAGGAAGAGCGGUUUUUCUCAUCCAAGCAAGUGACUUUGAGAACGCCAACCUGUUGGCGUGAAGCCAAAAGGUAGUUGACUCUUUUCCUGGCAUCAGAAGUGGGAUCCAAAUAAGACUUUCAACAACUCUGAAGCCAGUGAGCAACCACCUGCUGGUCCCCACAGGACCCAAGGAGUCAGUGCGUUCUCACCGACCUUGCUGCUUUCUUUGUGUGUUGAACUCGCCAACUUUAUCAUGCAUACCUGUAUUCUGUUUGUUCUAGCUUCUUGAAUAAAAAAGGAAAAAGAAGAAGAUAAAACCUAAAUGGAUAUAGAAAGAUGCAAAAGGUUUGUGGAAAAGAAAUUUUAUGUUGUGAGGUUACAGCUGGCUAAAUUGAAUAGAUUUAUACAGAGAUUUUUAAAAUAAAAAACUAGAGUUUAAUUUUCUUUCUGUUAAAAUCACAAAAUUUCUUAGAUUAUUGGUCUGUUUUAAAUAAAAUAUUAUAAAAGGUUUUUCUUUACCUUUAAUGUAACCCGCCUAGGAAACAAGGAUUCUCUGUCAUGGGAAAUGUUUCCUGUAUUCCAAAUUGUCUUUGUCAGAUCUUUGAUUAAUUAGGAAAACAGAGUCUUUUCAGUUUUAAAAGCUAAGGUUUUUUUUUUUGUUUGUUUGUUUUUGUUUUUUACAGCUACUUAACUUUGUAUAUUUGCCUUUGAAAUCUUUCAGUUGUCACUUUGGUGAAUGGAUAACUAAGUAUUAUUUCAUAGUGACUUAUGCUUCUAUUUGAUGAACUAUUUCUAAUCUUUUGACUUUUUUUUUAUGCUCUUUUUUUUUUGGGGUUUUGUCAUACAUUGAUAUGAAU